rnacentral:rRNA from 1 species
AGUGGCGCACGGGUGAGUAACACGUAGCUAACCUACCCUCGAGUGGGGGAUAACCUGGGGAAACCUGGGCUAAUACCGCAUGACGUCCCCGCGAGCAAAGGCCCGCUGGAGGAGGGGGCUGCGGCCGAUCAGCUAGUUGGUAGGGUAACGGCCUACCAAGGCAAUGAUCGGUAGCCGGCCUGAGAGGGCGCACGGCCACACUGGCACUGAAACACGGGCCAGACUCCUACGGGAGGCAGCAGUGGGGAAUUUUGCACAAUGCCCGAAAGGGUGAUGCAGCAACGCCGCGUGAGGGAUGAAGGCCUUCGGGUUGUAAACCUCUUUCGACUGGGAAAAAUGAUGGUACCGGUGGAAGAAGCCCCGGCCAACUACGUGCCAGCAGCCGCGGUAAUACGUAGGGGGCGAGCGUUGUUCGGAAUUACUGGGCGUAAAGGGCGUGUAGGCGGUGCGGUAAGUUGGGCGUGAAAUCCCCGAGCUCAACUCGGGGGGGUCGUUCAAGAC